rnacentral:rRNA from 1 species
UACGUAGGCAGCAAGCGUUGUUCGGAAUUACUGGGCGUAAAGCGUGCGUAGGCGGUGCCAUAAGUUCGGUGUGAAAUCUCCCGGCUCAACUGGGAGGGUGCGCCGAAAACUGUGGUGCUAGAGUACAGGAGAGGUAAGCGGAAUUCCUGGUGUAGCGGUGAAAUGCGUAGAUAUCAGGAGGAACACCUGCGGUGUAGACGGCUUACUGGACUGUGACUGACGCUGAGGCACGAAAGUGUGGGGAGCAAACAGG